UACGUAGGGUGCGAGCGUUGUCCGGAAUUAUUGGGCGUAAAGGGCUCGUAGGCGGUUUGUCACGUCGGGAGUGAAAACUCGGGGCUUAACCCCGAGCCUGCUUCCGAUACGGGCAGACUAGAGGUAUGCAGGGGAGAACGGAAUUCCUGGUGUAGCGGUGAAAUGCGCAGAUAUCAGGAGGAACACCAAUGGCGAAGGCAGCUCACUGGGACGGUAUUGACGCUGAGACGCGAAAGCGUGGGGAGCAAACAGG
rnacentral:rRNA from 1 species